CAUCUCGAGACGGAAAGGCCAGAUUUG
rnacentral:sRNA from 1 species